GAGCUGUGAAGAAAACGGUUAAGCGAUGGUUGGGUCCAUCGCAUUCAUCUGAAUUCCAGAUGGGAUAAGCCACAUACCGAGCUC
rnacentral:snoRNA from 1 species